UUGAGACGCGGCAGACGGCUCAGUAACACGUGGCUAACCUACCCUCAGGACAGGGACAAACCCGGGAAACUGGGGCUAAUACCAGAUAGGCGAGGAUGCCUGGAAUGGUUUCGCGCACAAAGGACCUUGGAAACAUGCUCUCAAGUCGCCUGAGGAUGGGGCCGCGUCCGAUCAGGUUGUUGGUGAGGUAACGGCUCACCAAGCCUAUAACCGGUACGGGCCGUGAGAGCGGUAGCCCGGAGAUGGGUACUGAGACAAGGACCCAGGCCCUACGGGGCGCAGCAGUCGCGAAAACUCCGCAAUGCACGAAAGUGUGACGGGGCUACCCCGAGUGCUCUCCGCUGAGGAAAGCUUUUCUCUGGUGUAACAAGCCAGGGGAAUAAGGAGAGGGCAAGACUGGUGUCAGCCGCCGCGGUAAUACCAGCUCUCCGAGUGGUAGGGAUGUUUAUUGGGCUUAAAGCGUCCGUAGCCGGCUUAGCAAGUCUCCUNGUUAAUUCAGCGACCUAAUCGUUGAGCCGCGGGNGAUACUACUAGGCUA
rnacentral:rRNA from 1 species